GACGAACGCUGGCGGCGUGCUUAACACAUGCAAGUCGAACGGUGAAGCGCCUUCCUUUUUGGUGGGUGUGGAUGAGUGGCGAACGGGUGAGUAACACGUGAGUAACCUGCCCCCUCCUUCUGGAUAACCGCAUGAAAGUGUGGCUAAUACGGGAUAUUCUGGGUCUGUCGCAUGAUGGGUCUGGGAAAGAUAUUGUUUCGGUGGGGGAUGGGCUCGCGGCCUAUCAGCUUGUUGGUGGGGUGAUGGCCUACCAAGGCGGUGACGGGUAGCCGGCCUGAGAGGGUGGACGGCCACACUGGGACUGAGACACGGACCAGACUACGACGGGCGGCAGCAGUGGGGAAUAUGGCACAAUGGGCGCAAGCCUGAUGCAGCGACGCCGCGUGAGGGAUGGAGGCCUUCGGGUUGUGAACCUCUUUCGGGAGUGAAGCAGGCCUGCCUCGUUUGUGGGUGGGUUGACGGUAGCUGGAUAAGAAGCGCCGGCUAACUACGUG
rnacentral:rRNA from 1 species